AGAUGUUGGGGCGAUCUGGCUGUGACAUCUGUUGAUUUGGCUGAUGUGACUUGACUAUGAAGGUGUCCCCUUCCUCCCUCAUCACCCCAUCCCUCCUGAAGCUGCAUGUUCAAUGGAAGAGGAUGGCAUCCCAGACAGAAGUGUAGCAUUGUUCAGUCAAGGGUACUGAAUACGAAUACUUUCCUCUCACAUAUCAGAAGAAGAAGAAGAAGAACUUGGUUUUUAUACCCCGCUUU
rnacentral:sRNA from 1 species